AGCAGCCGCGGUAAUUCCAGCUCCAAUAGCGUAUAUUAAAGUUGUUGCAGUUAAAAAGCUCGUAGUUGAAUUUCGGGAUCAAUUUAUUGGUCGUGCUAUUGUACGUACUGGUAUUAUUGAUUCCUACCUUCUGACGAACCAUGAUGUCAUUAAUUUGGUGUCUUGGGGAAUCAGGACUGUUACUUUGAAAAAAUUAGAGUGUUUAAAGCAGGCUCACGCUUGAAUACAUUAGCAUGGAAUAACGAAAUAGGACGUUUGAUUCUAUUUUGUUGGUUUCUAGGAUCGACGUAAUGAUUAAUAGGGAUAGUUGGGGGCAUUAGUAUUCAAUUGUCAGAGGUGAAAUUCUUGGAUUUAUUGAAGACUAACUACUGCGAAAGCAUUUGCCAAGGAUGUUUUCAUUAAUCAAGAACGAAAGUUAGGGGAUCGAAGACGAUCAGAUACCGUCGUAGUCUUAACCAUAAACUAUGCCGACUAGGGAUCGGAUGAUGUUAAUUU
rnacentral:rRNA from 1 species